rnacentral:misc_RNA from 1 species
UACGGAGGGUGCAAGCGUUAAUCGGAAUUACUGGGCGUAAAGGGCGCGUAGGCGGUCUGUUGCGUCAGGCGUGAAAGCCCCGGGCUCAACCUGGGAUGUGCGCUUGAUACGGGCGGACUGGAAGUCGGCAGGGGGUGGUGGAAUUCCCAGUGUAGAGGUGAAAUUCGUAGAUAUUGGGAAGAACACCGAAGGCGAAGGCAGCCACCUGGGCCGAUCUUGACGCUGAGGCGCGAAAGCGUGGGGAGCAAACAGG